rnacentral:lncRNA from 1 species
CUAAAUUAUAAAAACUGUUUUUAAGUAACAUGAAACUUAAAGUGCACCUAACCUCAAUUGUUUUUAUCACCUCAUGACAUUUCUAAGAACCUUUGAAAUGAUAUUAUAACUUAUCUUGAAGAUUUUCGUUUGCAUGUACACUAAACUUUGUCUCGGAGUUAUUUCAGUUUUAUUGAUAAUGCAAAUGUCCGGAAUUUGCGUCACAUAUGAAUAAUGACAG